GGGAUUGUGCAGUGGCAGUGUUGUCGCCAAUGAGGUUUACCCAUAAUGUGAUUAUUGCUGAUUGAAAACUUUUCCCACUACGCCACCGUGAUGACUUGAAGUAUAGUCAACAUUGGCAGUUUUUGACAGUCUUUAUGGAGA
ensembl:snRNA U4 U4 spliceosomal RNA